rnacentral:rRNA from 1 species
GACGAACGCUGGCGGCGUGCUUAACACAUGCAAGUCGAACGGAAAGGCCUGCUUUCCCUUGUGGAUUGCGGGUACUCGAGUGGCGAACGGGUGAGUAACACGUGAGUGAUCUGCCCCCAACUUGGGUAUAAGCCUGGGAAACUGGGUCUAAUUCCCGAUAGGACUGCAGGGUGGUGCCUGUGGUGGCAAACGAUUUUCUAGUGGUUGGGGAUGAGCUCGCGGCCUAUCAGCUUGUUGGUGGGGUAAUGGCCUACCAAGGCGGCGACGGGUAGCCGGCCUGAGAGGGUGGACGGCCACAUUGGGACUGAGAUACGGCCCAGACUCCUACGGGAGGCAGCAGGGGGGAAUAUUGCACAAUGGGCGGAAGCCUGAUGCAGCGACGCCGCGUGGGGGAUGACGGCCUUCGGGUUGUAAACUCCUUUCGACCGCGAGGAAGCCACCUGGUUGGAAGGGUGGUGACGGUAGUGGUAGAAGAAGCACCGGCUAACUACGUG